UCAUUAUUGAAUUCAUAUAUGCAAAGGAGUUGUGCUGGUAAUAAAUAUUGCAUGUGCACACUCUGAAGCUAUAUAAUAUAUACACCUGUGAACCAACUGUAGUCUGGAAAAAUCCUGACUAUGAUUACUCUAUAUAACUCUUAUUGUAUGUUACAUAAAACGAUCUCAUAUUGAAGCUUUGUUUUUUUUUUACAAGUUUCUCUUAAUUGAAAAAUACACAACUUUCAACAGCGGAUCUCUUGGCUCUUGCAUCGAUGAAAAACGCAGCGAAAUGCGAUAAGUAAUGUGAAUUGCAAAAUCCAGUGAAUCAUCAAAUCUUUGAACCCACCUUGCGCCCUUUGGUAUUCCGAGGGGCAUGCCUGUUUGAAAGUCAUUAAAUUCUCAACCUUACAAAUUUUUGUAUUUGUCAAGGCUUGGAUGUGAGAGUUGCUAGUUAAGAAUAUCUGACUGGCUCUCUUUAAAACUAUUAUGAGGACAUAUAGAAAUGCCGGCGGAUGGUGUGAUAAUAUGUCUACCCCUAUACCAAAGGGGAUUCUAGCUUGUAUGCACUACUUAUAAAAUCAUGCGCAUAUAUCUAGCAUAUAAGUGCAUAUAUUGACUAUUUGACCUCAAAUCAGGUAGGACUACCCGCUGAACUUAAGCAUAUCAAU
rnacentral:rRNA from 1 species